CACCGCCCGUCACACCAUGGGAGUCAGUUGCUCUAGAAGUCGGUGCGCCAACCUCGGAGGCAGCCGCCUAAAAGAGUGACUGGUGACUGGGGUG
rnacentral:rRNA from 1 species